ensembl:lncRNA SOX5-AS1 SOX5 antisense RNA 1
AGAAUAGAAAAGCAGCAUUCUGAACAGCAAUGCUCAUCACAUAAACAUGAAGUUUCCUCCAAAAGGAAUGAUGACUAAUGCUUUGAGGAAACAGCAGACGUCAGACAGCAAGCCCAGAAAAACCUGCCAGCACCAAGAGGGUGUCCUCAACAGGCGCCUGGGGGACAUAUUAUUCUAACUAAAGAGACCAGAGCUUCCCCAGGAAGGGAAGAGGAGAGAAAUGAAGAACGUCUGUGUUCAUGUUUGCCAAAAACAAAAGUCUGAGAAAUCUCUGAGAGACUCUACAUGGGAGCAUCAAGCACAAAUGAUGAUCUCCUAGGACAGUGGCAGCUUCUGAGAAUGCACAGGAAAGUGACCAGGGAAAGAAUGAUUCCAUCUCCAGGAAUCCCUGGUGAUCUUCAGAGCCCAGACAGGACCCUGCUGGGCCAUGGUAACUGAGAAACUGAGAAGCAGAUACAGUGGUCCCUAUGUUGGCAACCUCAGCUGAAGAGGAACAACUCUCUCUAUAAUCAAGGACUUCUGAAACCAGAAAUCACCAGCGUGGGGAGAGAACAUUAAAGGCAGAGGUGUCUCUUAUAAGCACAACGUGUGACCAGCCGAUGUCCCAAGUAUAUAUGUUUGAUGAGGGUACAGAAGACAUAAGGAAUAAAACUGCAUUGCCACAGAGGGAAUACACGGCUCCAGAUACAAGGCUUUAUGCUAAUUUUAGCAAAAUAACUUGGAUUACUGUCAGCUUCUAGUGUCUCCAUCAUUCAUAAUUGCACUGUGUUGGUCCACCCACUUUACUCCUAAAGAAGAGGUAAGAAACAGAAGAGGAGAUCACAGUGGCUCUUCAACUAUUAAUAUACCACAGACUUCAAUAACAAAUGAAGAGAAACAAGAAAAGAAAGCAAUGCAAAAAGAACGGUACUGCCCUCUUUCUCUCCUGAACCAUCAAUAAAUCAAGGGUAGAUAAUAGCCUA